CAGUCGCCGCGGUAAUACGAAGGGUGCAAGCGUUACUCGGAAUUACUGGGCGUAAAGCGUGCGUAGGUGGUUGUUUAAGUCUGCUGUGAAAGCCCUGGGCUCAACCUGGGAAUUGCAGUGGAUACUGGGCGACUAGAGUAAGGUAGAGGAUAGUGGAAUUUCCGGUGUAGCAGUGAAAUGCGUAGAGAUCGGAAGGAACAUCUGUGGCGAAGGCGACUAUCUGGGCCAUUACUGACACUGAGGCACGAAAGCGUGGGGAGCAAACAGGAUUAGAUACCCCUGUAGUCCCUGUCUCUUAUAC
rnacentral:rRNA from 1 species